rfam:Salmo salar isolate Sally breed double haploid chromosome ssa10, whole genome shotgun sequence.
UGGCUCAGUUGGUAGAGCAUGGUGUUUGCAAUGCCAGGGUUGUGGUUUCAAUUCCCAC